rnacentral:piRNA from 1 species
GUGUCCUGACGCUGACAGCAGGAAC